AUACAUGCAAGUAGAACGCUGAAGGAGGAGCUUGCUUCUCUGGAUGAGUUGCGAACGGGUGAGUAACGCGUAGGUAACCUGCCUGGUAGCGGGGGAUAACUAUUGGAAACGAUAGCUAAUACCGCAUAACAGUAGAUGUUGCAUGACAUUUGCUUAAAAGGUGCAAUUGCAUCACUACCAGAUGGACCUGCGUUGUAUUAGCUAGUUGGUGGGGUAACGGCUCACCAAGGCGACGAUACAUAGCCGACCUGAGAGGGUGAUCGGCCACACUGGGACUGAGACACGGCCCAGACUCCUACGGGAGGCAGCAGUAGGGAAUCUUCGGCAAUGGACGGAAGUCUGACCGAGCAACGCCGCGUGAGUGAAGAAGGUUUUCGGAUCGUAAAGCUCUGUUGUAAGAGAAGAACGAGUGUGAGAGUGGAAAGUUCGCACUGUGACGGUAUCUUACCAGAAAGGGACGGCUAACUACGUGCCAGCAGCCGCGGUAAUACGUAGGUCCCGAGCGUUGUCCGGAUUUAUUGGGCGUAAAGCGAGCGCAGGCGGUUAGAUAAGUCUGAAGUUAAAGGCUGUGGCUUAACCAUAGUACGCUUUGGAAA
rnacentral:rRNA from 1 species